rnacentral:rRNA from 1 species
UACGUAGGGGGCAAGCGUUGUCCGGAAUCAUUGGGCGUAAAGCGCGUGUAGGCGGCUUCGUAAGUCCGUUGUGAAAGUCCAGGGCUCAACCCUGGAAUGCCGAUGGAUACUGCGGAGCUAGAGUACGGAAGAGGCGAGUGGAAUUCCUGGUGUAGCGGUGAAAUGCGCAGAUAUCGGGAGGAACACCAAUGGCGAAGGCAGCUCGCUGGGACGUUACUGACGCUGAGACGCGAAAGCGUGGGGAGCAAACAGG